GUCAUUCCUAGCUUGAGCAAGGUUGGAAAAUAUAAUGUUUCUUCAACAUUUCCAAAUAAAAUAGCGGUGUGGAAGUAAAGAAGAAGAGACCACGGGGAUUAGGCAGGCAACCUGUGAUGUCUUGCAGAGGCGGCACACUGUCCACAUCAGCGCCCUCUGAGACAUUGCUUCUCCUCAAGUCCUCAGGUGCUGGUAGCCCAUUGCUAGGUUUUUCUGGCUACCUUGAGUGGAAGAGAAGGAGAUGAGAAAAAUACUCCUUUCAGACUGGGGGUGUAGCUACAGCAGACUGUGGAAAUUUUGGAGUGGAUCAGAAAAAGAAGCAUGGCAUGUCAGUAGCUGUUUUGCUAUUAACCAGCAGUGGUGUUGGGGGCAAGUCAUUUAAACUCUCUAUGCCAUGGUUUCCUUAUUUGUAAAAUGAAGGGUUAAGACAGAGAACUCAGCUCAAUAUUAUAUAGCAAAUAUGGGAAAAGAAUUUGAAAAGGAGUGUAUACAUGUGUAUGUAUAACUGAAUCACUUUUUUGUACACCUGAAACUAUCACAACAUUGUUAAUCAACUAUGUUUCAAUAUAAAAUAAAAAGUUUUUUUUUUAAAGACACAAUAGCCCAUAAGCUUUGGUCCCCAUCUUAUGACCAAUGAUCCAACUUUUCUCAUCCAAAAGUAUAUGAAGUAUGGCAGGAUAUUCUACAGCUCACGAGGGUUUAAAUAAUAUUUCAAAUAAAAUAAAAACUG